AAGGGAGAGUAACGGGUGGUUACUUACCCUCAGGACCGGAAUAGUGUCGGGAAACUGACAGUAAUGCCGGAUAAUAUCUUUGGAUCAAAGGUGUGAUUCCGCCUGGGGAUAGGACCGCUUUCUAUUAGCUUGUUGGCGGGGUAAUGGCCCACCAAGGCUGAGAUGGAUACCGGGUGUGAGAGCAUGGCCCGGCUCACUGGGACUGAGACACUGCCCAGACACCUACGGGUGGCUGCAGUCGAGAAUCUUCGGCAAUGGGCGAAAGCCUGACCGAGCGACGCCGCGUGCGGGAUGAAGGCCUUCGGGUUGUAAACCGCUGUCAGUUGGGAGGAAGGUGCUGUGAAGAGCAGCAUUUGACCGAUCUUCAGAGGAAGGACGGGCUAAGUUCGUGCCAGCAGCCGCGGUAAGACGAACCGUCCGAACGUUAUUCGGUAUCACUGGGCUUAAAGAGUUCGUAGGCGGCCUAGUAGGUGAGGUGUGAAAUCCAACGGCUCAACCGUUGAAUUGCGCUUCAAACCGCUAGGCUCGAGGAUGGCAGGGGUGUUGGGAACAGAUGGUGGAGCGGUGAAAUGCGUUGA
rnacentral:rRNA from 1 species